rnacentral:rRNA from 1 species
UGCAUACAAAUAAGCGGGGGGAAAGAAACCAACAGGGGUUGCCUCAGUAGCGGCGAGUGAAGCGGCAAAAGCUCAAAUUUGAAAUCUGGCGUCUUUGGCGUCCGAGUUGUAAUUUGAAGAAGGUAUCUUUGGGCCCGGCUCUUGUCUAUGUUCCUUGGGACAGGGCGUCACAGAGGGUGAGAAUCCCGUGCGAUGAGAUGGCCCGGGUCUAUGUAAAGUUCCUUCGACGAGUCGAGUUGUUUGGGGAUGCAGCUCUAAGUGGGUGGUAAAUUCCAUCUAAAGCUAAAUAUUGGCGAGAGACCGAUAGCGAACAAGUACAGUGAUGGGAAGAUGAAAAGAACUUUGAAAAGAGAGUGAAAAAGUACGUGAAAUUGUUGAAAGGGGAGGGCUUGAGAUCAGACUUGGUAUUUUGCAAGUUACUCUUUCGGGGGUGGCCUCUGCGGUUUACCGGGCCAGCAUCGGUUUGGGGCGGUAGGGUAAUGGCGGGGGGAUGUGGCACGACUUUGGUUGUGUGUUAUAGCCUCUGACGAUACUGCCAGCCUAGACCGAGGGCUGCGGUUUUUACCUAGGGUGUUGGCAUAAUGAUCUUAAGUCGCCCGUCUUGAACCAACGGGGCC